rnacentral:rRNA from 1 species
GACGAACGCUGGCGGCGUGCUUAACACAUGCAAGUCGAACGGAAAGGCCCUGCUUUUGUGGGGUGCUCGAGUGGCGAACGGGUGAGUAACACGUGAGUAACCUGCCCUUGACUUUGGGAUAACUUCAGGAAACUGGGGCUAAUACCGGAUAGGAGCUCCUGCUGCAUGGUGGGGGUUGGAAAGUUUCGGCGGUUGGGGAUGGACUCGCGGCUUAUCAGCUUGUUGGUGGGGUAGUGGCUUACCAAGGCGUUGACGGGUAGCCGGCCUGAGAGGGUGACCGGCCACAUUGGGACUGAGAUACGGCCCAGACUCCUACGGGAGGCAGCAGUGGGGAAUAUUGCACAAUGGGCGGAAGCCUGAUGCAGCGACGCCGCGUGCGGGAUGACGGCCUUCGGGUUGUAAACCGCUUUCGCCUGUGACGAAGCGUGAGUGACGGUAACGGGUAAAGAAGCACCGGCUAACUACGUG